UGUCAGAUCAGAGCAGGAUGUGGACUAACAGUGUGUUUGUGACUUCUAUAGCUGUAGCAAACACUGAGGUACAGGAGCAAAUGAUUCCUAAAGCCUAAAUGACAAACUACCCUGCACACAUGGUGCCGAAAGCCAGGAUGGGGGUACGGCUGACUCUGGACGGGGCCAGCGAGGGAAGCAGCUGGCCCAAAUGGUGGCCGAUCUGGCGGCCACACAGCGGGAGCAUGCGGUGGUGUCACAAAGUCAGCAGGGAGAACUUUGCUCUGUCUGUUGUUGGUGAUGUGUGCGGCUGGCAGCUGUAGAGCUGCAGUGGUUUUUGUGUUUUUAACAGCAACCUUGUGCAGAAUAAAGAGCUGCUGAAAAGCUGUCAGUCUGGCAGAGGCAGACUGUAUGGAGUUACGAAAAGGACCCAAAAUACAGACACAAAGACGGUGGAAGAAAACUUGAAUAUUAAGAAAAAGCAAGCCGUCUAAUAUGCUGAUUUU